ACUCCUACGGGAGGCAGCAGUGAGGAAUAUUGGACAAUGGGCGCAAGCCUGAUCCAGCCAUGCCGCGUGCAGGAAGACUGCCCUAUGGGUUGUAAACUGCUUUUAUACGGGAAGAAACACUCCCUCGUGAGGGAGGCUUGACGGUACCGUAAGAAUAAGGAUCGGCUAACUCCGUGCCAGCAGCCGCGGUAAUACGGAGGAUCCAAGCGUUAUCCGGAAUCAUUGGGUUUAAAGGGUCCGUAGGUGGAUAAUUAAGUCAGAGGUGAAAUCCUGCAGCUCAACUGUAGAAUUGCCUUUGAUACUGGUUAUCUUGAGUCAUUAUGAAGUGGUUAGAAUAUGUAGUGUAGCGGUGAAAUGCAUAGAUAUUACAUAGAAUACCAAUUGCGAAGGCAGAUCACUAAUAAUGUACUGACACUGAUGGACGAAAGCGUGGGGAGCGAACAGGAUUAGAUACCCUGGUAGGUGAC
rnacentral:rRNA from 1 species